rnacentral:lncRNA from 1 species
CUAGUGAAUGUUCCCAUUUACGUAGGCCAGCUAACAUUUUAACAUUUUGAGCAGAGGACUAGCAGAUAUAGAGCCUUAACUCUCCUCUCACAAAUUAAUUUCUAAAGUAAGGAAAUUCUGAGAAUAUGCCAGGCAAGCAUUUGGGGACAGGAAGUCCUUUAAAUCUCAAGAUCCUCAUUCUGCACUCUGGAAAACAUCCACAGUCCUAGCUCAACCAAGAAGGACAAGG